rnacentral:rRNA from 1 species
CAAUAGCGUAUAUUUAAGUUGUUGCCGUUAAAAAGCUCGUAGUUGGAUUUCGGGUGGGACGCAGCGGUCUCGCAUUGCGUUUGUACUGCUGCAGCCCUCCUUCUUGCCGGGGGCGGCCUCUCGGACUUCACUGUCUGGGGGUCAGAAUCGGCGAUGUUACUUUGAGUAAAUUAGAGUGUUCAAAGCAAGCUUACGCUCUGAAUAUAAUAGCAUGGGAUAACACGACAGGACUCUGGCCUAUCGUGUUGGUCUAUAGGACCAGAGUAAUGAUUAAGAGGGACAGUCGGGGGCAUUCGUAUUCCGUUGUCAGAGGUGAAAUUCUUGGAUUUACGGAAGACGAACAUCUGCGAAAGCAUUUGCCAAGGAUGUUUNCAUUA